rnacentral:rRNA from 1 species
UACGUAGGGGGCGAGCGUUAUCCGGAUUCAUUGGGCGUAAAGCGCGCGCAGGCGGCCGGCCAAGCGGGGGAGUCGAAGCCCCGGGCUCAACCCGGGGAAGCACCCCGAACUGGACGGCUCGAGUGAGGUAGGGGAGGAUGGAAUUCCCGGUGUAGCGGUGGAACGCGCAGAUAUCGGGAGGAACACCGACGGCGAAGGCAGUCCUCUGGGCCUUCACUGACGCUGAGGCGCGAAAGCUGGGGGAGCGAAC